CUGCCUUCCAAUGGCAUGACCACGGAAGGAGAACAGCUCCUCACCAAAGCAGCCAUGAUGGAUUCUGACAUUUUCGAAGUUAUUAAAGAAUGUGCCACACCAAAAAAAAAAAAAAAGUAAAGAGAGAGAAUAGCAAAUUAAUGGGGACAUUUGGAGGAGAAAGGACAUGUAACCAUAACACACUGCUGGGCUUGGGAGUCAACAAUCCUUAAGUGCUCCAGGACAUUGGUGUGCCCAGUGGAAGUUUCCUACAAGGGGUGACAGCUCUGGACAGGGCAUCAGGUGCCUGUGUGCUC
rnacentral:lncRNA from 1 species